rnacentral:rRNA from 1 species
CUACGGGACGCACCAGUAGGGAAUAUUGGACAAUGGGCGAAAGCCUGAUCCAGCAACACCGCGUGCACGAUGACGGCCUUCGGGUUGUAAAGUGCUUUUAGAGGAGAUGAGAAAGGACAGUAUCCUCUGAAUAAGCCUCGGCGAACUACGUGCCAGCAGCCGCGGUAAAACGUAGGAGGCAAGCGUGAUCCGGAUUUAUUGGGCGUAAAGCGCGUGCAGGCGGUGUAGCAAGUUGGAUGUGAAAGCUCCCGGCUCAACUGGGAGAGGUCGUUCAAUACUGUUAGACUAGAGAAUAGGAGAGGGAGGUGGAAUUCCGGGUGUAGUGGUGAAAUGCGUAGAUAUCCGGAGGAACACCAGUGGCGAAAGCGGCCUCCUGGACUAUUUCUGACGCUAAGACGCGAAAGCUAGGGUAGCAAACGGGAUUAGAUACCCGGGUAGUC